UACGUAGGGGGCGAGCGUUGUCCGGAAUCAUUGGGCGUAAAGCGCGUGUAGGCGGCUCGAUAGGUCCGGUGUGAAACCUUGGGGCUCAACCCCAAGCCUGCACUGGAUACUGUCGAGCUCGAGUCCGGGAGGGGAGAGCGGAAUUCCUAGUGUAGCGGUGAAAUGCGCAGAUAUUAGGAAGAACACCGGUGGCGAAGGCGGCUCUCUGGAACGGUACUGACGCUGAGACGCGAAAGCGUGGGGAGCGAACAGG
rnacentral:rRNA from 1 species